rnacentral:ribozyme from 13 species
UACACACACACAACACAUAAAACAAAACUAUCUUCUCAAAAAAAAAUACAGGCCAUAACAACCAUUUCUCCCUCUCUUUUCUUCUCUUCCCUUUUUUUUUUUACUUCUGUUU